rnacentral:sRNA from 1 species
GGAUAUGGUUAUGGGCUCGGAAAUCUAGUUCGGGAAAAGUGUGAGGGGCUCUUCACGUGGGGAAGGGACAGCAGGCGCGGACGAGGGGGCAAGCGUGUGUGAGAUUCAGUGGUCCAUGCGUGCGUUUGUCGUUUCCAAGGAGUUUGGCUCCGUUGACUAUUGGGAGAAGUUCUUCCAGCAGCGAGGAAAGAAAGCUUUCGAGUGGUAUGGAACCUACCUGGAACUGUGCGGGGUGCUACACAAAUAUAUCAAGCCCAGGGAAAAGGUGCUGGUGAUUGGGUGUGGCAACUCAGAACUGAGUGAGCAACUGUAUGAUGUGGGCUAUCGGGAUAUAGUGAACAUCGACAUCAGUGAGGUUGUCAUCAAGCAAAUGAAGGAAUGUAAUGCCACCCGACGGCCCCAGAUGAGCUUCUUGAAGAUGGACAUGACGCAGAUGGAGUUUCCUGAUGCCUCGUUCCAGGUGGUGUUGGACAAGGGCACCCUGGAUGCUGUCCUGACAGAUGAGGAAGAGAAGACCUUACAACAGGUGGACAGGAUGCUGGCUGAGGUUGGCCGUGUCCUGCAGGGCCGGGAGACCGAGUGGCUCUUUGGCAUGGAUGAGGGCCGGAAACAGCUGGCGGCCAGUGCUGGCUUCAGGAGGUUGAUUACAGUGGCCCUUCACCGAGGUCAGCAGUAUGAAAGCAUGGACCACAUCCAAGCUGAGCUGUCGGCUAGAGUCAUGGAGCUGGCCCCAGCUGGGAUGCCCACCCAGCAGCAGGU